ACAGGAUUGGUCACGUUCGUAUGCUUGUGUUUCUGGUGCGUUGUAGAUGUGGUGGAGACAGGGCUUGUCCUUGGUGCUUGACGUACAGUGUGUCAUAGAAGAUAUGAUGCAUGACGGUUGACCUUUGAUGAAUUUGGUGUCCAGUAAAACUUCUUGGACGUAUAGCACAAAGCAGGCAUCUGGCAAGAACCUUCGGAUGGACAAAUUGAAUCCAGAGGCAG